CGGGCUAACAUCAGAUGAUAUAUAAUCACGACAUCGUGGAAAUAUCAAAUCUUCGGAGCCUUGGGAUGAGCCUGCGUUCUGAUUAGGUAGUUGGCGGAGUAAUAGCCCACCAAGCCUACGAUCAGUAGCUGGUCUGAGAGGAUGAUCAGCCACACUGGAACUGAGACACGGUCCAGACUCCUACGGGAGGCAGCAGUAAGGAAUAUUGCUCAAUGGGGGGAAACCCUGAAGCAGCAACGCCGCGUGAAGGAUGAAAUACUUUUGUAUGUAAACUUCUGUAAGAUGGGAAAAAUAUUCUCCUCGGGAGAAUUGAUUGUACCAUCAGAGUAAGCCCCGGCUAACUACGUG
rnacentral:rRNA from 1 species